rnacentral:lncRNA from 7 species
UGUGUUUUUUACAGAAUGCAAUAACUGAAUGACUCUCAACCAUGCACUCGUGAAACCUCACUGUAACUUCUGCAUAUGAAACUCCAUUGACUCAUACUUUUAUAGUUUUCUCCUUGCUGUGAAGUUGAAAACGGAAGAUUUGUAUUAGAAAGCUGAUGCAGAUCCGGUCCAAUCUAUCGUUCUGAUUUUUCAAACACCUGAGCCUGAAGCGGGGAAGCUUCUUCAUCUGUGUUCUUACACAACCUCUAUCAAGCAUCAGCUGGUCACAUGGGCAAGAUUUUCAAAAGUGGCCACUGAUUAUCUGUUUCCUUUAUAAUACAUGACUUUUCAGGCAGUACUGGCACUGAUUUUCUCAGUUAUAAGAAAGAGGGGCUGGAAGAAAAUUUGCAGUAGGGGACACAUAGAACUGGGACAAUCUGGAGCAAUGAAGAGGAGAGGGAAUGUAUAUAGCACUUCUCAGAGCAUCUAACCCAUGCGCCAGCAUUUCUCUGACAAGAUUAAAUAACAAGUAAAGGUUUUCACAGUGAGAAUCCUAACUUUUCAUUUGAUUGGAUUUUAAUAAGGCACAAAUAAAUAUAUCAUAUAAGGAUACGUGAGAAAGUGCAGAGGUCAAAGGAGGAGACAUAAGAAAAGGUAUUCCUAUCCUCUUUCUGCUCCAUCAGGGUUCACAUCUUUACUUUGAUCGUUACCAUGAAAUAUAAAUUUCUUAUGGAGACACUUGCUGAAAUUUUUGUGGAUUGUUCUGGUGGCUCAGGCUGCAAAGAGAAGUGUGAUAUCCUCUGAAGCAGAUAACUGAAUGUGUUCCUGUAGGAGACUUAGAGAACUUAUAGACAACGCCUGAAGCCAGAAGACUUGACACCAGCCUCUGUCCUGGUCAGAUGUAUGUAGGUCAUAUUUUCAUAUGAGAGCUCCCUGCUGGACAGGAGAUCCUUACUCUUGUUAGCGUUCUACCACCUUGAUGAUAUAAGGUGCCCAUCAAAGUCUAUCAGAUCAAACCUCAUUUCAGUAAUCCCUGUUGAUGCGAGAUUAAGAACUUUAAACCAAUGCUGCAAAUUGCUGCAGUCUCACAGCUGCUGUAAACUGUAUCUUAUUUGGGCUGGAUCGAUAGGAUCCAAAGUCUCCUUAUAUUCUGCUCUUUCUUUCACCAAGAAAUAUGCUUGUUAUUAUUCUUCUGUCUUAAGCAAAG